rnacentral:rRNA from 1 species
AGUUUGAUCAUGGCUCAGAUUGAACGCUGGCGGCAGGCCUAACACAUGCAAGUCGAACGGUAACAGGAAGCAGCUUGCUGCUUUGCUGACGAGUGGCGGACGGGUGAGUAAUGUCUGGGAAACUGCCUGAUGGAGGGGGAUAACUACUGGAAACGGUAGCUAAUACCGCAUAACGUCGCAAGCACAAAGAGGGGGACCUUAGGGCCUCUUGCCAUCGGAUGUGCCCAGAUGGGAUUAGCUAGUAGGUGGGGUAACGGCUCACCUAGGCGACGAUCCCUAGCUGGUCUGAGAGGAUGACCAGCAACACUGGAACUGAGACACGGUCCAGACUCCUACGGGAGGCAGCAGUGGGGAAUAUUGCACAAUGGGCGCAAGCCUGAUGCAGCCAUGCNGCGUGUAUGAAGAAGGCCUUCGGGUUGUAAAGUACUUUCAGCGGGGAGGAAGGGAGUAAAGUUAAUACCUUUGCUCAUUGACGUUACCCGCAGAAGAAGCACCGGCUAACUCCGUGCCAGCAGCCGCGGUAAUACGGAGGGUGCAAGCGUUAAUCGGAAUUACUGGGCGUAAAGCGCACGCAGGCGGUUUGUUAAGUCAGAUGUGAAAUCCCCGGGCUCAACCUGGGAACUGCAUCUGAUACUGGCAAGCUUGAGUCUCGUAGAGGGGGGUAGAAUUCCAGGUGUAGCGGUGAAAUGCGUAGAGAUCUGGAGGAAUACCGGUGGCGAAGGCGGCCCCCUGGACGAAGACUGACGCUCAGGUGCGAAAGCGUGGGGAGCAAACAGGAUUAGAUACCCUGGUAGUCCACGCCGUAAACGAUGUCGACUUGGAGGUUGUGCCCUUGAGGCGUGGCUUCCGGANNUAACGCGUUAAGUCGACCGCCUGGGGAGUACGGCCGCAAGGUUAAAACUCAAAUGAAUUGACGGGGGCCGCACAAGCGGUGGAGCAUGUGGUUUAAUUCGAUGCAACGCGAAGAACCUUACCUGGUCUUGACAUCCACGGAAGUUUUCAGAGAUGAGAAUGUGCCUUCGGGAACCGUGAGACAGGUGCUGCAUGGCUGUCGUCAGCUCGUGUUGUGAAUGUUGGGUUAAGUCCCGCAACGAGCGCAACCCUUAUCCUUUGUUGCCAGCGGUCCGGCCGGGAACUCAAAGGAGACUGCCAGUGAUAAACUGGAGGAAGGUGGGGAUGCGUCAAGUCAUCAUGGCCCUUACGACCAGGGCUACACACGUGCUACAAUGGCGCAUACAAAGAGAAGCGACCUCGCGAAGCAAGCGGACCUCAUAAAGUGCGUCGUAGUCCGGAUUGGAGUCUGCAACUCGACUCCAUGAAGUCGGAUCGCUAGUAAUCGUGGAUCAGAAUGCCACGGUGAAUACGUUCCCGGGCCUUGUACACACCGCCCGUCACCCAUGGGAGUGGGUUGCAAAAGAAGUAGGUAGCUUAACUUCGGGAGGG